GAGCCUUAGUGUUGGAUUUGAAGGAAGAAGCCCCAGGAGCUGCUGAGAGCUGUUUUAUAACCAUGAGCUCAAACUUUAUAGCAAGACAAAGCCAGAAUGUUCAGGUGAAGAAGCAGAGAAUGGCUGUGUGAGUUUCCUAGGCUGUCGGAACAGAGAGCCACAAACUGGGUGUCUUCAAUCCAUACAAAUGUAAUUAUCUCACAGUUCUGGAAGCUGGAAGUCUGAAAUCAAGGUGUCAGCGGGGCUAUGCUUCCUCUAAAGCCUCUAGCCAUGUAAAAUGUGCCUCCUUCGUCUUCUCAUUCUGCCAUGAUUGUAAGUUUCCUGAGGUCUCCCCAGCCACGCUUCCUGAACAGCCUGCGGAACGGCCCAGUCCCAAGGCACAAGACCACUUGUGCCAGCAGCCAGCAGCGUGCAUCAGCAAGACAGCAGAAGCAGGAAGACAGCCUGCUGGAAGACACUUACCCUGGCCGGAAGACAUGUACCCCUGAAGAUGGAGAAAGAGGCCUUCCGGGUACUACGUAGCAGUCACGUCAGACCGGGACACUUCCUGUUUAGAGAGGACUAUAAAACUCCGGUCCGGUAAUCACUUGGGGCUGACGCCAUUUUAGGCCUCAUCCCGCCUGCACCCAGGCACUCAUUAAAACAGCGUGUUGCCCCACA
rnacentral:lncRNA from 1 species